AUGGAAUUUUAAUUGACUGAGUGGCGGACGGGUGAGUAACGCGUGGGUAACCUGCCUCAUACAGGGGGAUAACAGUUAGAAAUGACUGCUAAUACCGCAUAAGCGCACAGGAUUGCAUGAUCCGGUGUGAAAAACUCCGGUGGUAUGAGAUGGACCCGCGUCUGAUUAGCUAGUUGGUGGGGUAACGGCCUACCAAGGCGACGAUCAGUAGCCGACCUGAGAGGGUGACCGGCCACAUUGGGACUGAGACACGGCCCAAACUCCUACGGGAGGCAGCAGUGGGGAAUAUUGCACAAUGGGGGAAACCCUGAUGCAGCAACGCCGCGUGAGUGAAGAAGUAUUUCGGUAUGUAAAGCUCUAUCAGCAGGGAAGAAAAUGACGGUACCUGAGUAAGAAGCCCCGGCUAACUACGUGCCAGCAGCCGCGGUAAUACGUAGGGGGCAAGCGUUAUCCGGAUUUACUGGGUGUAAAGGGAGCGUAGACGGCGAUGCAAGUCUGAAGUGAAAGCCCGGGGCUCAACCCCGGGACUGCUUUGGAAACUGUAUGGCUGGAGUGCUGGAGAGGCAAGCGGAAUUCCUAGUGUAGCGGUGAAAUGCGUAGAUAUUAGGAAGAACACCAGUGGCGAAGGCGGCUUGCUGGACAGUAACUG
rnacentral:rRNA from 1 species